rnacentral:lncRNA from 1 species
CUUCCUCCGCCCACUCGGCUCCCGAGCCCCCACCCGGGUCCGGGCCGCGCGCCCUCCCGCCAGCCUGCUGGCCCGGCGGGAGCUGCGCUGGGGGUCCCCGGCUCGGCCCGCCCCACGCCGCGCUCACCCCCGAGAGGAUGCGGAUUCCAACUUGGAUCGGGGGAGGGAACGUCCUGGAUGCCGAGCGCCUCCCGGCUGUUUGCUCUUCUUUAUUUGUUUUCUUCUCCGAGAAAGGAGGAAAACGGAGAAAAGGAAAAGGAAAGAAGCGGCACUGGCCGCGUCUGCCGGCGGACGCCGGCUGCGCAGGAGCGAGGCGAGAGUCGAGGUGUUUAGUGAUGAGCUGUCAUUCUAAUCUUUAAACAGGAGAAAGGAAAUCCUACGAAUUAAAUGUGUUGUCAGAAGCUGGUUUAAAAAAAGAAAAGAUGGAAGCCAGGCACAGUGGCACAAGACUUAAUCCCAGCUAUUUGGGAGGCUGAAACAGGAAGACUGACUUCAAGUCCACCAUGGGGAACGUGAUGAGACACCUUUCUCAAAAAUAGAAAGACAAGGACUGGCAUAGUGUGGUGGAUUAUAAGGCUCUUCAGGAUCAAUUUUGGAACAAUAACAAAAAGUCAUGAUAAUAAAGCAGAAAGUAAAUGAUGAAUGACCUGAAAUAAGAGUCCCAUUUAUGUAUUUAUAUUCCAGAAGAAGAAACAACAUGAAGCAUUCACAAAGGUUGCAUCUAAUACUUUUCUUUUUAUAAAAUAUCUAUGAUCACUUUUCCCUGAUUGACUGUUAGAAAAAUACUAUUUUUUUUCAUGCAAUAUCAUUAAUCAAGUGGUAGGAGUUUGAAAUGUCCACACUGCACUCAGUUAUAUAGAAUACACUUUUUUUUUUUCCUUUUAAAUUCUGGGGAACUCAGCUCAUCUGCUCAGAUGCUUCCGUUCCACUCAUUUUUGAGUGUAGGAAGUUAACUCCCUAUCAAACUGAUCUUUGCUCUGGCUCCAGGAGUUUCCAUUCUCUUUCUGUUUCUA